rnacentral:rRNA from 1 species
AUACGGAGGGUGCAAGCGUUACUCGGAAUCACUGGGCGUAAAGCGCGCGCAGGCGGCUUGAUAAGUUGGAUGUGAAAGCCUACGGCUCAACCGUAGAACUGCAUCCAAAACUGUCAAGAUAGAGUCUGGGAGGGGGAGAUGGAAUUAGUGGUGUAGGGGUAAAAUCCGUAGAUAUCACUAGGAAUACCGAAAGCGAAGGCGAUCUCCUGGAACAAUACUGACGCUAAGGCGUGAAAGCGUGGGGAGCAAACGGGAUUAGAUACCCCUGUAGUCC